GGGGGAACAGGGCCAUAGAUUUCCGAAGAGAAUGGGCAAUUUACACGUAGUUGAGGAAGAGCAGAACACACAGGGCAGGCAAAUUCUUGCUAGGCAUCCACACAAACAUCAUGCAGCCAAAGAGUAAGUUGGGAUCAUAGUACUGGUCUGGUGUCUCAUUGGAUGUAAUUUACCACUGGCCAGCCUCCAAAUUCCCACACAGAA
rnacentral:snoRNA from 1 species